ensembl:lncRNA
UCCUGUCAUAGCGUUGUUAUUUCAAAAUGAAAAGAUUGUUUAACUCCUGAUACAAGUCUACUUAAAAAGCUUUGCCAAGCAAAACAUAAAUGUCUCUCAUUGGUGAGUUGUCUGAUUGACGUCCCAUGAGUCCCGCGAGUGAGAAGGUCUGUCGAUGCUGUCAAACUUAUUAUGCCGGAGUAAACUUCCUUUACUCUAACAGUAUUCAUUUCAGUAUUUCCACUCGUUUUGGGUAGUUUAAAACUAUUAAUAAUAUACGGAUAAGCUAGAAAAUUAUCUUACAGUUACUUUCAACAGCAUAUUAUAACAACAAACUAUGGUCGCAUACUCACUGUCGGUUUGCAGGUACUCGGAGGCACUUCACUCUAAAUAAUGUUCUUCGUGAACUGCGCGAAACAAAGUUCAAGAAAUACUGUCAGCUACUGUAAGGUCUGCUAUAUGCUGACCUUCAUUACAAACAAAACUAUCCUGUCAAAAUACCUGGAGGGAGAUGUGCGUUCAGUCGACUGUUAAUUAGAAGAAAACAUUGCCCUGCGCGAGGUUGUUGAUUGCUGUCGCCUACGAAGCCCCGUUUCAUGCGCGUUCACAGCGACCAGAAGCACGCUCGAGGGUAGUAAACGUCCUUGGAGUUCAGCUAUUAAUUCGAUUCCAUUAUGUUCGGAAUGAAUCAAUACAGGAAGGUCGACUGACGGUUGUGAUAAUAUGCAUUUUUUUUUUUUCUUUAUUAAUUUUUGUAACAUCCCGUUCCGAUGAAAAGUGUGCAUAUGAAAAUAAUCCGUGUCUGAAUUAUUUAUUAUUCAGUAUCAAGUUACGCAUACAUUUUAAAUAUUAAAAGGUCGACUGGAUACCAUCACCUGAAGUAUUAUUAUUAUUAUUAUCAUUAUUGUUAUUAUUAUUAUUUACCAGUUUAUUUCUUUUGAAAUAAAACCAAUAGGUUACGUCCUAUCUUUUUUUUUAAAACAUAUUGGGAUAUGACUGCGUUAAACUGAAGUCUGAAUCACUGUUAAGGCUAAUAGCAACAGAUCUAAAAUGAUGAUAGUGUCUCAUUUAGCAUAAUAUUUACG